rnacentral:rRNA from 1 species
CGGUCCUGAGUAGAGUGGCGCACGGGUGAGUAACGCGUAGAUAACCUGUCUUCAUGUCUGGAAUAAUACGCCGAAAGGGGUACUAAUACCGGAUAUUCUUGCUUUUCAUAAGUUAUGCAAGCAAAGGUGGCCUCUGCAUAUGCUACUGCAUGAAGAGGGGUCUGCGUACCAUUAGCUAGUAGGUGGGGUAAUGGCCUACCUAGGCGACGAUGGUUAGCGGGUCUGAGAGGAUGAUCCGCCACACUGGCACUGGAACACGGGCCAGACUCCUACGGGAGGCAGCAGUGAGGAAUAUUGCGCAAUGGGGGAAACCCUGACGCAGCGACGCCGCGUGAGUGAGGAAGGCCUUCGGGUCGUAAAGCUCUGUCAAGAGGAAAGAAGUGUACAAUGGCUAAUACCUGUUGUAUUUGACGGUACCUCUAAAGGAAGCACCGGCUAACUCCGUGCCAGCCGCCGC